rnacentral:rRNA from 1 species
CCUACGGGAGGCAGCAGUGGGGAAUAUUGCACAAUGGGGGAAACCCUGAUGCAGCAAAGCCGCGUGAGUGAGGAAGUAUUUCGGUAUGUAAAGCUCUAUCAGCAGGGAAUAGAAAAGAAGGUACCUGAAAAAGAAGCCCCGGCUCAAUACGUGCCAGCAGCCGCGGUAAUACGUAGGGGGCAAGCGUUAUCCGGAUUUACUGGGUGUAAAGGGAGCGUAGGCGGAAAGGCAAGUCAGGAGGGAAAACCCAAGGCUCAACCAUGGGACUGCUGUUGAAACUGUCAAACUAGAGUACGGGAGAGGUAUGAGGAAUGCCUAGUGUAGCGGUGAAAUGCGUAGAUAUUAGGAGGAACACCAGUGGCGAAGGCGGCUUACUGGACCUAAACUGACGUUGAGGCUCGAAAGCGUGGGGAUCAAACAGGAUUAGAUACCCGAGUAGUC